GUCGCAAGACCAAAGAGGGGGACCUUCGGGCCUCUUGCCAUCAGAUGUGCCCAGAUGGGAUUAGCUAGUAGGUGGGGUAACGGCUCACCUAGGCGACGAUCCCUAGCUGGUCUGAGAGGAUGACCAGCCACACUGGAACUGAGACACGGUCCAGACUCCUACGGGAGGCAGCAGUGGGGAAUAUUGCACAAUGGGCGCAAGCCUGAUGCAGCCAUGCCGCGUGUAUGAAGAAGGCCUUCGGGUUGUAAAGUACUUUCAGCGGGGAGGAAGGCAAUAAGGUUAAUAACCUUGUCCAUUGACGUUACCCGCAGAAGAAGCACCGGCUAACUCCGUGCCAGCAGCCGCGGUAAUACGGAGGGUGCAAGCGUUAAUCGGAAUUACUGGGCGUAAAGCGCACGCAGGCGGUCUGUCAAGUCGGAUGUGAAAUCCCCGGGCUCAACCCUGGGAACUGCAUUCGAAACUGGCAGGCUGGAGUCUUGUAGAGGGGGGGUAGAAWUUCCAGGUGUAGCGGUGAAAUGCGUAGAGAUCUGGAGGAAUACCGGUGNGCGAAAGGCGGCCCCCUGGACAAAGACUGACGCUCAGGUGCGAAAGCGUGGGGGAGCAAACAGGAUUAGAUACCCUGGUAGUCCACGCUGUAAACGAUGUCGACUUUGGAGGUUGUUCCCUUGAGGAGUGGCUUCCGGAGCUAACGCGUUAAGUCGACCGCCUGGGGAGUACGGCCGCAAGGUUAAAACUCAAAUGAAUUGACGGGGGCCCGCACAAGCGGUGGAGCAUGUGGUUUAAUUCGAUGCAACGCGAAGAACCUUACCUACUCUUGACAUCCAGGGAACUUAGCAGAGAUGCUUUGGUGCCUUCGGGAACCGUGAGACAGGUGCUGCAUGGCUGUCGUCAGCUCGUGUUGUGAAAUGUUGGGUUAAGUCCCGCAACGAGCGCAACCCUUAUCCUUUGUUGCCAGCGGUCCGGCCGGGAACUCAAAGGAGACUGCCAGUGAUAAACUGGAGGAAGGUGGGGAUGACGUCAAGUCAUCAUGGCCCUUACGAGUAGGGCUACACACGUGCUACAAUGGCAUAUACAAAGAGAAGCGACCUCGCGAGAGCAAGCGGACCUCAUAAAGUAUGUCGUAGUCCGGAUUGGAGUCUGCAA
rnacentral:rRNA from 1 species